CCCUACGGGGUGCGGUAAAUUCAAUGCCUCUGUCCAUAUGGCAGGUCCUGACUCCACGCGUUGUCACCAACCUCGCUCGGGAUGAAAGCGUGCGCAACUCUAACACACGGAUUAUUUGGGUGACUGUGGGUCUCACAGGAUUCAUGAUUGUGUGCGCGAUUGCAGGUUCAUUCUUGCUGGAUCUAUUUGUUCCGUAUUUCAUCCCGAAAUAUAUUGCAGGUAUCCCGGUAAUGACGGUUUGCCUCUGGUUUCCGGUUGUCCAGGCAGCAUUCCUGCCCAUGAAUACCCUUUUUGCCACAGGCAGGCCGUGGCUCUAUGGUCGCAGCGUUAUUGCCGGAAUCAUUGUUUUUCCCUUGGCCACCUAUCUGUUAUACCCUGUCAUUGGCGGGGGGGC
rnacentral:rRNA from 1 species